rnacentral:rRNA from 1 species
UACGUAGGGUGCAAGCGUUGUCCGGAAUUAUUGGGCGUAAAGAGCUCGUAGGCGGUUUGUCGCGUCUGCUGUGAAAACGCGAGGCUCAACCUCGCGCCUGCAGUGGGUACGGGCAGACUAGAGUGCGGUAGGGGAGAUUGGAAUUCCUGGUGUAGCGGUGGAAUGCGUAGAUAUCUGUAGGAACACCAGUGGCGAAGGCGGUCUCUUGGGGGCAUUCUUGACGCUGAGGCGCGAAAGCUGGGGGGAGCGAACGGG